CAGAGAUUUUGCUCUUUGCUGAAGUGUGUCUGAAUAAGAGAUAGCCAUUUGAUGCUGCACAUCUUCCAGUUCUUUCCUGCUGCUUUCAAUUUUUUGAGUAAUAUUCUUAAAAUCUCUAAUACUAAGAGAUUUUAAGGGAGGUUUGAGAGACUUGAGAUUAUUCCAUACUCCUUGAAGAGUAUUCUUCUCCUUGCUUUUCCAGUAAGUUGAAAGAAUAGCCUGAAAUUCCGUAUGCUGGAUCCAAGCAUUAAAGAAUCUGAAUGGUGUUUUCCUUGUAGAUGUAUCUGUUGUCA
rnacentral:lncRNA from 1 species